rnacentral:tRNA from 1 species
UCCUUGGUAGCUCAGCUAGUAAAGAAUCUGCCUGCAAUGCAGGAGACUCGGGUUCGAUUCCUGGAUUGGGAA